rnacentral:tRNA from 1 species
GGGCGAUUAACUCAGCCGGGAGAGCGCUGCGUUCGCAACGCAGAGGUCGGGGGUUCGAACCCCCUAUCGUCCACCA